rnacentral:rRNA from 1 species
UACGGGGGGGGCAAGCGUUGUUCGGAAUUACUGGGCGUAAAGGGCUCGUAGGCGGCCAACUAAGUCAUACGUGAAAUCCCUCGGCUUAACCGGGGAACUGCGUCUGAUACUGGAUGGCUUGAGUUCGGGAGAGGGAUGCGGAAUUCCAGGUGUAGCGGUGAAAUGCGUAGAUAUCAGGAGGAACACCGAUGGCGAAGGCAGCUCGCUGGGACGGUACUGACGCUGAGGCGCGAAAGCGUGGGGAGCAAACAGG